UCCUGGCCGUAAACGAUGCAUACUAGGUGAUGGUACGGCCAUGAGCCGUAUCAGUGCCGUAGGGAAACCGUUAAGUGUGCCGCCUGGGAAGUACGGUCGCAAGGCUAAAACUUAAAGGAAUUGGCGGGGGAGCACCACAAGGGGUGAAGCCUGCGGUUCAAUUGGACUCAACGCCGGGAAACUUACCAGGGGAGACAGCAGUAUGACGGUCAGGUUGACGACCUUACCCGACG
rnacentral:rRNA from 1 species